GAUGUCGGCAGCGUGGGACAGCGCGGCGUCGCCGUCGCCGUCGCCGGUGGUGUCGCCGUCGCCGUCGCCGGUCGUGUCGUCGGUGGUGUCG
rnacentral:tRNA from 1 species